UGGGGAAUAUUGCACAAUGGGGGAAACCCUGAUGCAGCGACGCCGCGUGAGCGAAGAAGGCCUUCGGGUCGUAAAGCUCUUUUAUGAGGGAAGAUAAUGACGGUACCUCAAGAAAAAGCCCCGGCUAACUACGUGCCAGCAGCCGCGGUAAUACGUAGGGGGCUAGCGUUGUACGGAAUCACUGGGCGUAAAGGGUUCGCAGGCGGAAUAACAAGUCAGAUGUGAAAGGCAUGGGCUCAACCCAUGUAAGCAUUUGAAACUGUAAUUCUUGAGAAGUGGAGAGGUAAGUGGAAUUCCUAGUGUAGCGGUGAAAUGCGUAGAUAUUAGGAGGAAUACCUGUGGCGAAGGCGACUUACUGGACACAAAUCUGACGCUGAGGAACGAAAGCGUGGGUAGCAAACAGG
rnacentral:rRNA from 1 species